CAGAUUAUAGCUUAUAAUAAAAGCUUUUUAUUUACAUUAAUAGGAAAAUUCAAUAAAUUUUAUCUGA
rnacentral:tRNA from 1 species